CACCCAACUAGGAAGUGUCUAAGGUCACAUUUGAACCCGGGACCUCCUGUCUUCAGGUAUGGCUAUCUACUGAGCCAUCUAGUUCCCCCCCCCUUUUUUUUUACAUAAAGUGCUUUUCUUAAUGAAAGAAAUUUUAAAGAGAUGUCAGUCAGACUCAAGGUAUGCAGUUCACAAGCAUGGAGGGGAGGGGGAAAAGUCCUAUUUAACCAAGGACCAAGCUGGACUUGCUGCCAGGUAAAUUUGUUUUGUAUGGUGCUGGUUCUGAUGCAGCUGGACUGGGAACAAGUGCAGCCGGCACAGCUUCUUCUUUGUUCUGUCCUAGGUCAACUCUUGAGUCAGCCUCCACAUUCCCAAGAACAUCACCUUCUCUCCUUGGACCUACAGAAGCUCCAGAACCUGUUUCAAAUGGAGCCCAGAUGGUUCAGAAUCAUCUCUACUAAACUGAGGAGUCCCUCCUUAUUUGGCCAAGAAGGUCGAUUUUCUUCAGGUGUUCAGAAAUGAUAUGGGGAUCCUGGCUGUUAAGUAAGAGCACCCUCCAACAAAAAUGAACCUGCACAGGAUUAACCCAGAGGUAAGUCGUCAUUUGCCUCUGCCUGGGUCUGUUGCUGGGGGUUGGGGGGCUAUAGCUAAAGAAAUCAUUACCAGCUGCUACUUUUGUGGCUGUGAUCUUUGCUGAAUACCUAAUACUGUGGGAGUUUGGGAAGGCACCUGCCAUAUGGUGCUGACUGCCACAUUAGCGGACUGUAUUUACUGAGGGGUAAACAGUGAGAUGCCCAUGAGGGCCUGGCAGAAUCAAUCCACAGCAACAUGGGACAGCAACCAGUCUGGCAGCUUGGUGGCGAGAUCCAGCAUCAUCUCAAAAGCUUGUGUCCUUUGAGCAGAAGUAGGCAUUUUCAUCUUCUCUGUGACAAACUGUGAAUUAGACUGGAGAAGGUCAGGCAAGGUGCCACAGGUGCCUGCUUACCACACAUGCUUCCUCCAACAAGAUGGCUCCCAGGUAUCAAAGCUAGAUGACUGUGCAGAGGGUUGGGCAGAUUCUGCUAAGGAUUCUGGCUGAGGAUGGAGUAGUCUGGAGAGGCUGGCCCUGUUAGCCUGACCUCUUGCUUGUUGCCUGGUAUGGAUUAAGAUAUCAGUCAACAAUAAUCAAUCAUUAAGUAUUUAUGAAGCACUUCCUAGGUGCUAAAUAAUGUCUUAGGCAGCGGGGAUGCAAGAACAAAGAAUCAAAUAAUCCUUACUUUCAAGGUGAGUCAAUAAGGGUGAUAAACAACCACAUAUAUAUGUACGUGCCCACAUGAAUCACAGAUAUAAAGAGAAUAAAAUCAAAUUUAAACAAAGAUGCUAAAUUCA
rnacentral:lncRNA from 1 species